AAAACUUUCAACAACGGAUCUCUUGGCUCUCGCAUCGAUGAAGAACGCAGCGAAAUGUGAUAAGUAAUGUGAAUUGCAGAAUUCAGUGAAUCAUCGAAUCUUUGAACGCAUCUUGCACUCCUUGGUAUUCCGAGGAGUAUGCCUGUUUGAGUGUCAUGA
rnacentral:rRNA from 1 species